rnacentral:rRNA from 1 species
GAUGAACGCUGGCGGCGUGCCUAAUACAUGCAAGUCGAGCGAACAGACGAGGAGCUUGCUCCUCUGACGUUAGCGGCGGACGGGUGAGUAACACGUGGAUAACCUACCUAUAAGACUGGGAUAACUUCGGGAAACCGGAGCUACUACCGGAUAAUAUAUUGAACCGCAUGGUUCAGUAGUGAAAGACGGUUUUGCUGUCACUUAUAGAUGGAUCCGCGCCGCAUUAGCUAGUUGGUAAGGUAACGGCUUACCAAGGCAACGAUGCGUAGCCGACCUGAGAGGGUGAUCGGCCACACUGGAACUGAGACACGGUCCAGACUCCUACGGGAGGCAGCAGUAGGGAAUCUUCCGCAAUGGGCGAAAGCCUGACGGAGCAACGCCGCGUGAGUGAUGAAGGUCUUCGGAUCGUAAAACUCUGUUAUUAGGGAAGAACAAAUGUGUAAGUAACUAUGCACGUCUUGACGGUACCUAAUCAGAAAGCCACGGCUAACUACGUG